rnacentral:rRNA from 1 species
UACGUAGGGUGCAAGCGUUGUCCGGAAUUAUUGGGCGUAAAGAGCACGUAGGCGGUCUGUCGCGUCGGCUGUGAAAUCCCGGAGCUCAACUCCGGGUCUGCAGUCGAUACGGGCAGACUGGAGUUCGGCAGGGGAGACUGGAAUUCCUGGUGUAGCGGUGAAAUGCGCAGAUAUCAGGAGGAACACCGGUGGCGAAGGCGGGUCUCUGGGCCGAUACUGACGCUGAGGAGCGAAAGCGUGGGGAGCGAACAGG